rnacentral:rRNA from 1 species
CGCUGGCGGCAUGCUUUACACAUGCAAGUCGAACGGUAACAGGCCGCAAGGUGCUGACGAGUGGCGAACGGGGUGAGUAAUGCAUCGGAACGUGCCCAAUCGUGGGGGAUAACGCAGCGAAAGCUGUGCUAAUACCGCAUACGAUCUGUGGAUGAAAGCGGGGGACUAAGCAGCAAUGUUUGGCCUCGCGCCUUUGGAGCGGCCGAUGUCAGAUUAGGUAGUUGGUGGGGUAAAGGCCUACCAAGCCGACGAUCUGUAGCUGGUCUGAGAGGACGACCAGCCACACUGGGACUGAGACACGGCCCAGACUCCUACGGGAGGCAGCAGGUGGGGUAAUUUUGGACAAUGGGGGCAACCCUGAUCCAGCAAUGCCGCGUGAGUGAAGAAGGCCUUCGGGUUGUAAAGCUCUUUUGUCAGGGAAGAAACAGCAGCUCUAACACAGUCUGCGAAUGACGGUACCUGAAGAAUAAGCACCGGCUAACUACGUG